GGAUUCAGCCCAAGCUCACAGAUGAGGCAGCUGAUCAUAUUGCAACUCUAUACGCAGAACUUAGGGAUGCUAGUGCAAGUGCAAAGUCUGGAGGAGGUACACUUCCAAUCACAGCAAGAACUUUAGAGACUAUCAUACGUCUCUC